rnacentral:rRNA from 1 species
AGAACGAACGCUGGCGGCAUGCCUAAUACAUGCAAGUCGAACGAACUCUUCGGAGUUAGUGGCGCACGGGUGCGUAACGCGUGGGAAUCUGCCCCUUGGUUCGGAAUAACAGUUGGAAACGACUGCUAAUACCGGAUGAUGACGAAAGUCCAAAGAUUUAUCGCCAAGGGAUGAGCCCGCGUAGGAUUAGCUAGUUGGUGAGGUAAAGGCUCACCAAGGCAACGAUCCUUAGCUGGUCUGAGAGGAUGAUCAGCCACACUGGACUGAGACACGGCCCAGACUCCGUACGGGAGGCAGCAGUAGGGAAUAUUGGAC